AUUUUGAACCAACAGACCUCUGCUGGCAUCUGCGAUUGCAUUUUUCCUGUUUUAACAACGGCUGUGCUAGACGAAGUGGUGAAGCCCAAAGACUUAUUUUUGAACUCCCUGUAAGACUGAGAAAUCACGUAGUCCUUCCUGAAACCAUUAAGAGGAAAAAUGUCUGUGACACUGCAUACAGAUGUAGGUGAUAUUAAAAUUGAAGUCUUCUGUGAGAGGACACCCAAAACAUGUGAGGUAAGUACUAUUAUUUACAUAUUCAACAUCAGUUAAUACAACAAGAUAACCACUUUGGAAUUGAAUAAUCUAACCUAAAUGACAACAACAAAACUUUCUGUAAAACCAUUGUUAGGGAAAACUAGCCAUCCUAACUUCUGGCCUGAUUUCCACUUAUUUGUCCAAUGUCAAAGGUGGAUCAAAGAGAACGUAGAUAAUUUUUCGGUAACAAUAGAGUAGCCAGUAUCUUUUUCUUUUGAACUAAUUUUCUUCAGGAAACAUAAUCAUUAGGACAUUAUAUUACUUUUUUUCUUUCUUUUUAUUUAUUUAUUUAUUUAUUUUUUGAGAUGGAGUCUCGCUGUGUCCCCCAGGCUGGAGUACAAUGGCGCGAUCUCG
rnacentral:sRNA from 1 species